rnacentral:misc_RNA from 1 species
AAGUCGUAACAAGGUCUCCGUUGGUGAACCAGCGGAGGGAUCAUUACAGAGUUGCAAAACUCCCAACCAUUGUGAACCUACCUCACCGUUGCUUCGGCGGGUGGCCCCGGGGCAACCCGGAGCCGCGCCGGCCCCGCUCUUGGGGCCCGGCAAACCCGUCAGAAGACCGAAACUCUUCGUCAUCAGUGGCCUCUCGGAGUAACUUAUACAAUAAGUCAAAACUUUCAACAACGGAUCUCUUGGUUCUG